AAUUUCUUCCUCUUCUUCCUCAUGUGUAGACAUAGAUAUAACUACAUCUUCCCUCAACUUAGCUUUAUUCAAUGCAUUCUCUAACUUCUUAGACUUAAUCUCUUCAAGUGCUUCACGAAACUUGGCUUUUUGCUCUUGACUUGCUUUAGGACACGAUUUCACACCCAUUCCCUUGAUGCCUGCUAUGUGCACUUUAUGCCUAUUAAUCCCGGCCUUUGUAACUUUGUCACACAAUGUGCAUCUCACAUUAUUAGGUUUACUAACAUCUUCAACAAUUGCAGUUUCC
rnacentral:lncRNA from 1 species